CCUACGGGUGGUAGCAGUAGGGAAUCUUCCACAAUGGGCGAAAGCCUGAUGGAGCAACGCCGCGUGGGUGAAGAAGGUCUUCGGAUCGUAAAACUCUGUUGUUAGAGAAGUAAGUGCGUGAGAGUAACUGUUCACGUUUCGACGGUAUCUAACCAGAAAGCCACGGCUAACUACGUGCCAGCAGCCGCGGUAAUACGUAGGUGGCAAGCGUUAUCCGGUUUUAUUGGGCGUAAAGGGAACGCAGGCGGUCUGUGAAGUCUGAUGUGAAAGCUUUCGGCUUAACCGGAGUAGUGCAUGGGAAACUGGGGGACUUGAGUGCAGAGAAGGAGAGUGGAACUCAAUGUGUAGCGGUGAAAUGCGUAGAUAUAUGGAAGAACACCAGUGGCGAAGGCGGCUCUCUGGUCUGUAACUGACGCUGAUGUUCGAAAGCGUGGGUAGCAAACAGGAUUAGAUACCCGAGUAGUC
rnacentral:rRNA from 1 species